UGGGUAAUAGCUCAGUGGUAGAGUGCAUGCCUAGCAUGCACAAGUCCUGGGUUCAAUCCCUGGUACCAAA
rnacentral:tRNA from 1 species